UGAUAUCACAUAGCCUAUUUAUCUACCAACCGUUUCACUUUCUGAACAGACAGAUCAGUGAACUCACUGAACAAGCUCCAAAAUGUGUAUCCAAGUCAACGUUCAUCUACCUUUUGGAAAUGAAAAGAUCAUGGAGCUGUGCAACACUAAAGAUCAGCUGAAAAACAUCACUGGACGGCAAUUUAAAGAGAAAAUUAAAGAGCGGUGGAUAAAUGAAGACUUUCGGAUGGUCUUCAACUCCAAGCUGGUGGAGGAAGAGGCCACUCUGGAAUCCACUGGGAUCGAGCACAUGUCCACAGUUCAUACAGUGCUGAAAGUGUCCGGAGGCACAUCUGAUGAAGAAUAAACCCCACAGGGUCUCAAGAAAACCAUGAACCAUGCAUGAACAAAUCAAUAUAUCCUCAUGCAAUCCUUUUUUAUGUAAUGUUUUAGGGAAUCUACAUGUAUAGUUUAACAUUGAAUCAUGAAUAAGUGCAAAUUAAUUUUACUCUUGGAUGGACAGAACUCUGGACUCACUUUGAUUCAUUGCUGAGUGUCCUUUUUCUUUAUAUUUCUACUACAAGCUACUGUGUUGUCAAGCCAAUGUCAAAUCUGUUAAGAAAAUGGAUACGAUGCCACAAAUCUGUAUUCUGUUUCUUUUAUGUAAAUGUAUCAUCUUCAUAUAAACUUUUAUAAAUUCUA